UUUUUUAUUUUUUCUCUCACAUACUUGUCUCCAGCCACUCAACUACUAAUUUUUCUCAUGGUAAUGAUCUAAUAGUUGGCAAAGAUCUACUUACAGGAGAAAGGAAGAAUUCCACAGAGGAUGAAGAAGAGACAGUCAGUCCACCUGGAUGAACAUGGCUCAGCAAGUAUCUCUUUAGUUGGAUGUGGCAAUUUUGAGGUAUAUUCCCAAGAGUGGUAUAGCUGGAUCUUGAGGUAAUUCAAUUCCCAUCUUCCUGAGAAACUUCCACACUGGUGUCCACAGUGGCUGGACAAAUUUGCACUCCUACCAGCAAUGGGCUAGAGAUAUGGAGUAUAAUGUUCUCUUGAGACUGUGGGGCCAAGUGGGGAAAUCAUGCCAGUCAGUCACAUAACCCCGAGGGCAACAGUCAAUAAUCUACAGCAUCACAUCACUACCUGCUCUGUGCUGUACGACUAAUGGAGUCUGUGAAGGAAAUAAGAGUCUGCUCAACAUUUACUUACUUAUUGGCUGUCUUCUUUUUUCAUGUAUCACCAAAUCUCCACUGUCAACUACCUGCAGCCUUCCAUGUUAAUACAGAAAUAAAGGCAUAGGAUCCAACACUCAUAGGAUCCAUGUUCCAUGAAAAAUAAAAAUAU